GGUCUCACAUUGAUGUAUUUUGCUUGUGUUUUCUUUCGGGAUAUUUUCCUUCAUUCUUGUUAAUGCCCCUCUAUAUAUGGUCCUCUCUGUUCAAUACAUGGAUAUGUACACAGAUAAUAUGUUGAUGAUUAAAGCAUAGAUCAACUCUUAGAAUUUCUGGUCGAUCCUUGUAGCAUUUGAGAUAUCUAUGUGUUAAGAGCUUUUAUAUAAAAUGUUUUUGCCAAAUUGCAUUUUCGCAUAUAUGUGACAUAUGUCAAUACGGGGUAAAUUUGAUGCCAAGUUUGCGAAAUGGGAAAUCAACUCAAGCUUCAUUUUUUUUAUCACGUAUGUGAACUUUAUCCCCAAAAUAGUUGAGAUGUUUUUCAUCUGCCCAAACAAAAUUUAUUGGUGGGGAAGGUGUUAUGGACAGUCAAAUCGCAUAGAAAAAUAUAUGCAUUUUAAAUCAACUUAUUUUUAUUGGACCAGUUAUGUGAUACAUCUGCCUUUAUUUACUUCCUUUCCCUUUCUUGAACUGUAUACAAGUUAAUCUGCCCAAAUUUUCUCUGGAUAAUCACUUCCUGACUGCUGCUGGAGAUCCUUACAUUCGAUUAUUUAACAUUAACUCGAACACUCCUCAGCCGAUUAGGAGCUUUGAUUCACACACUAACAUUGUGAUGGCAGUAGGAUUCCAAUGUGAUGAAAAUUGGAUGUAUCGGGGAUCUGAGGUUGGCACUGUAAAAAUUUGGGAUUUGAGGUCGUUAAGAGGGAAUAUGAAAGUCGAGCAGCUGUGAACACUCUAGUUUUGCUCCCUAAUCAGGUGUAAUGACAACAGCUGUGCUUCAACCCGAUUAGAUGAUUGUUUGGUUCCAUUGUGUUGCAUUCGUAGUUGAAACAAUUUCCUUCAAGUGAUUUCAGAAAUUAGGCAUUGAAGAGAGCUUUGCUGUUCAUCAACACUCAACAGUUGAAGGGUUCCUCCCUUUUCUGUGGACCGGGUUAAUUGCAUGGUGGACUAGAGGCUGAUUCAAGGUUUGAAGCUUGAAAACAAUAAAAUGGUGUAGAUGAGCCAGCCUAUGUGAUGAUUUAGAGAACCUUUCAGACUUCCCCUUUAUGCCGAAAGACCUUUUCAGAUGAGGCCAAUAUGGUUCUGUUUCUCAAUGCUCCAUUGUCUUAGGUUCUUGCUCUCCAUCUUAAUGUCAAGUUUUAAUAGUGAGUCUUUUAAGUAUUCAGCUUUUCAAAUGUUCUGACAUAAAGCAACUAAACUUAAGCAACAGACCGAUUGGCUAAGACAUCAAAGUGCACCAAGGGGAGCAUAAGGCAACUGUAUGCUAUGCUCUACAGGGCAGACCUGAACCUUCUAGCUGAACCUGUAACAGGCAUCAUUCGUCUUUUACAUCUCGAACCACAAUAUGCUGUACAGGUUUUCGGGGCAUUUGGUGUACAUGGGAUAGCAUUCUACCAUCCGUUUGCUUCUAUGGCAUCCAUUUUGAGAUGUGUUAGGUCUGAGAUUUUAGUUUUUAACGAAGUUAUGAUGUAAGACUGAGUUCUUGGCAUGAGCUUUUAGCAUGAAAUGAUCCUUGUUAUUUGAUCUUCAGGUUUGGAAUUUGCCCAGCCCCUGCAGAUCAAAUGCAAGAACAUAUGCAAAUUUUACAUGUGAAUUUUUAUAGGGAUGGCAAUUGGGGCAGGGCGGGGCAGGGCUAACCUUAGA